rnacentral:lncRNA from 1 species
UUAUUUUUUUUUCAAAUUAUACUAUUUCGAAAUAAAGACCUAAAACCCUAAAACUCAACUCUAAACCCUAAACCAUCAAUCAUAAACCUUUUUUUUUUGAAAUACGAACCUUGAACCCUAAACCCUAAACCAUCAAUCUUAAACCCUAUUUUUUUUUGAAAUACGAACCCUAAACCCUGAAACAUCAACUCUAAACCCUAAACCUCGAAACCUCAACUAUAAACCCUAAAUCCUAAACCUUCAACUCUAAACCUGAUUUAAAGUUGAUGUUUCAGAGUUUAGGGUUUAGAGUCGAUGUUUCAGAGUUUAGGGUUUAGAGUUGAUGAUUUAGAGUUUAAAGUUGAUGUUUAUAAACCCUAAAUCCUAAACCUUCAACUCUAAACCCUAAAGCAUCAACUCUAAACCCUAAACCCUAAACUUCAACUCUAAACCCUAAACCAUCAACACUAAACCCUAAACUAUCAACACUAAACCCUAAACCCUAAAAAGUAAACUCUAAACCCUAAACCCUAAAAAAUUAACCCUAAACCCUAAAACAUCAACUCUCAACCCUAAACCCUAAACCUUCAACUCUAAACCCUAAACUCUAAACCCUAAACUCUAAACCCUAAACUCUAAACUCUAAACCCUAAACCCUAAACCCUAAAACCCUAGAGUUGAUGUUUUAGGGUUUAGAUUUGAAGGUUUAGGGUUUUAUGGUUUAGGGUUUACGUUUAGGGUUUAGAGUUGAUGUUUUAGGGUUUAGAUUUGAAGGUUUAGGGUUUUAGGGUUUAGGGUUCGAAUUUCAGAAAAAUAUAGGGUUUAGGGUUUACGUUUAGGGUUUAGAGUUGAUGUUUUAGGGUUUCGAUUUGAAGGUUUAGAGUUUAUGAUUUAAAGUUGAUGUUUCAGAGUUUAGGGUUUAGAGUCGAUGUUUCAGAGUUUAGGGUUUAGAGUUGAUGAUUUAGAGUUUAAAGUUGAUGUUUUAAGUUUAGAUUUAGGGUUUAGGAUUUACGUUUAGAGUUUAAAGUUGAUGUUUUAGGGUUUAGAUUUGAAGGUUUAGGGUUUAGGGUUUAGAAUUGAUGUUUUGGAGUUUAGGGUUUAGGGUUUAGAGUUGAUGUUUCGUGAUUUAGGGUUUAGAGUUGAUGAUUUAGGGUUUAGAAUUAUGUUUUAAGUUUAGAUUAGUUAACCAUAUGUUUUUUUUUUGUUAAAGUAAAUCAAAAGGUUAUAAAUGUCUUUUACCCUUUAUUAAAGAUGAGGGUAAAAGUGAUUAGUGUAAACGUGAAAAAUUGUACUUUGAAAAUGAUAUUUUGGUAGUUUCCCAUACAUCAAACCUGAUACAGUGCACGAAAUCCCAAAUCAUUCAAUUUCACAAGUAUAUGUCUUUUCUAUCAUUUUCGGUUUUAGAUUUUUUUUUUUUGAAUUUGCUUUUUUACCGAUACUAGUAGUUAGUAGUAAAAUGCUAGUCUUUUUGUUUCAUAUAUAUUAAGUGUCAGUUUAGUUUUUAAAUUUUGUUUCAUUAUAAGUAUUUUUUUUUACAUUUCCAAUGCAUAUUUUAGAAAGCUUUUCUAAUUUUUGCCUUUAUUUUAAAUUCAUUAGUUACUAAAACCAAACAAAAAUACAUUAAAUAGGGGUGAAAUGGAAAAUUAAAAAAAAAAAUGAUCCAUAUGUAAAAAUUUAAUUAUGAAAUGGAGGGAGUAAAAUGUAGCAUGAAAUAUUGGCAUCCACGGAAACGAUGAGCGAGUUGAAUCCUAACCAUUAAUUUAGAAAAAUACAAUAAAAUUCAAAUAAGGAAACAAUAAUUAGGUCGAAGUUAUAACAACGACUAGAUAAAUUUCCAAAUGACUUUCCACCAUACAUUUAGGUCGUCUCGCAAGCAAAGAUCGCACCAUACGCAUAAAUGUACACAAUGUUCUGUAUAAACUUGUUAAUUGACUUUCCAACAAAAUAUAUAAUGUUCCCAUGCUUUUGAAAUAUAUAUAUAUCGUUAUUAUGACAUACUGUCUGUUAAACUAGAUGAGAUUUCAACCUAAAACCAAUUGGUGAUAAAUGGAGUGGCUCAUCUAUCUUAUAUACACUACAAGAAAAACUGUCUAUAGCCAUAAUUGUUUUUGUGGCUAUGACCUAAAUUCAGUAGCUUUUCGUAGCUAUUUUUGUGGCAACUUUUGCAGCUAUAAGCUUGUGGAUAUCGGUCGUUUGUGGCUAUUUGCGGCGGGAGUUCUACAACCUAGCCACAAUGAUAUUUUGUGGCUAAUAUCCACAAAUAGUAAGAAACCAUAUUUUGUAGCUGCAUUAACCACUAAUAGCUACAAACAAAACCACAGCUAUAUUAAAUACAAAUAAUCAUAUAUAAUUGUUGCUAUAUUAUAAAUUAUUAUUUUUUGAAAAUAUAAUUAUAUAAUUAAAUUAAUUUGUAAUAUAUAAAAAUGCUAAAUUUAAUCUUUAUUAAGAAUUAAUUUAAAUGUACACACAUAGUUUCAAAAACAAAAAUCUACAAAUAUGUAGCUAUGAUCGAUCUUAACUAAAAAAAAACAUUUCAUUUUGAUAUCAGCAAGGAUUUUAUUGGUUGUGGUGUUGUUCUCCUCCUAAUGUUCUUCAUAAGUGCAUCUUGCUCUUCUUCGCUAAGAGAUGACACAACUCUAGGCACCUACAAAUUAGAAAAGACAUAAGAUUAGCACCAACUGAAAUUAUUCUAACAACUAAAACAAAACCAGAGAACUGAGCAUACCUCGUGACCAUAGGCCAAAUUUCUUGGAGCCCAGUGUGAGUGAACCUAAAACAGAAUCAUGAUCAGUCACUAAGUCAUUCAAGGCCAGAGCAAAACCAAACUCUUACAAAAAUACAAUGAAGCUCAAUUCACAAAUCCGUACCUCAAAAGCAUAAACAUGUUUUGGUACAAAGGCCAACUGAUGUUCACAUACAGCUCCUGCUAUAAGAAAAAACAGUAAGAUAUUAGCAAACUUGAAAACUCAGAACCUCAAACUUAUGGUAGAGUUAAGUAGAGGCCUUCUCAGAAACAAGCCAUACACAAUACUACUCAAUAGAAUCAGAAUACCAAAACAAAUAGAGUUUCAUAGAAAUCCAAACCAAGAGAUAUAACAGUAGGAAAAUGAUAAGAAUAGGGAUAUAUAAUCCGACAUACAUCCAUCAAUACAACCGAAAACAAACUGCAGACAUACAUUGGCAAGAGACCUAACAUGUCCAAACUCAGCAUUCAAAGAAGCAGAAUGAUAGACAUAACCAAUGUCACUUGUAUCAAUAAGCAAUAACCAAACAAAUCCAGCGUAAUCAACUGAAAUAGCCAAACAGGAACACAAAUACACAUCUAUGCCUACCAGAGAUAAAGAGAAUAACAUCAACAAAAGUUGUGUUCGGAUGGAGAGAGAGAGAGAGAGAUAGACUCACAGAAGUCAUGUAACCCCUCCCGUUCAGUCCUACCGAAGACGUCUCCCACCGCCGCCGUCCAUGAGACUAAAGGGCUUCUCUGUCAUAGGAAUAAUUCACCCAAUAAUGCAGAGAUUGAUUAAACCCUUAAUCGAUUUCAGUAUAAAGACAUCAAUUACCCAAAACUUAAGAGAAUUAGUGCCUAUAUUCAAAGAUUUAUAGACAAAUUGAACCAUAACAAAAAAGUCAGAGAUUUCUAGACAAAUGAAGACCUAGAUCGGUUUCACACCAGAAGAAAAAGAUGACUGAAAGAAAAAUAAAUCUUUGAAUCUGUAAAUAAAAGCAGAACACUGAAAGAGAAUCAUCGAAUCUUAGAGCAAAGGAGAAAAUAAGGUCACUGAUAAAUGUAAAUCAACAUCAGAAAGAGGAGAAGCAGUGAGGAAAAUUAGGGAUACUAGGGUAAACAAAGGAGAAGAUCUGGCGCAAUAUUUCGGGCAGACUUAAAAAAAUUCCUUAAAAGAUUCGCGGUGUCAACCAAAAUUUUGGGCGGGGCUUUCUAAAAAAUUGUAGAAAAGUGUUAUUUUAUUUUGCAUAAUUAGCCAUAAUAUAAGAAAAGAUUUUAAAUAUUUCAUUUUGGAUAAUUUAAAUAUCCAAAAGUGGUAAAAUCUAUUUAAAAGAUAAUUUAUAAACUCAUACAUUUAUAAAACUCAAUGAUAUUUUAUAAAAAUCAGCAUUUGAUUGUAAAGUAUAAUUUAUUUUUUACGAAAAAAAAUCUAUAAUUUAUAUAAGACAUGUGUGUCAAGAGGUUCUGAAAAAUUGUGAUUGUCCAACAGUUUAAAAUCACUUGUAUCUACCAUGAAUUCCUCAUCCAAGACUAUCAUUUGAAGUUUUAUGGUAAUUUUAAUAACUAUUAACUAUUAUUAAUCUUCUAAGUAAAACAUAUGCAUCAUAACCGUUAGGGAAGGAGUUUAAGUUUAGGGUAUGUUAGAAUUUAGGAUAUGUUUUAGGAUUUUGAAUUUGGGGGCACAAUUAUUAUAUUUGAUGUUUUAAUAUUUGUUAUUAGUGUUAGAUUAACGUUUUACAUAUUAUUUAUUGUAUUAUCUUUUAAUGUUUAUGAUUAAAUAUUAGAAAAUUAGAGUUUAGGGUAUGAGUAGGGUUUAAAUUUUCCACAAAUAGCCACAAACUAUAUUGUGUCUAUAUAUAUAUUUCUAUGAUUAUUUUUGUGGCUGAUAGUAGAUGUUGAUUUCCACAAUAUUUUAUGUGGCUAAUUGUGACUUAUUUUCUUCGGAUAGCUACAAAAUGUAAUUUGCAGCUAAUUAGCAACAUAUAUCUACAGAAUAGCUACGAAUUUUGGUUUUUAAAAACUGUUGCUAAUUUUGUGGCUUUUUGUGGCUUGAAAAAUAUAGUCACAAAAUUUUUGUAGCUAAUUCGUAGCUAUAUACAUAUUUUCUUGUAGUGAUAUUACUAAAGAUCUCUUCCAAUUAUCGAUGUGGGACCUUUGCCCCUAAUACGCCCCCUCGAGAUGAUUGCUCUUUAAGCGUCAAUCUCGGAAUGUUCGGGCAAGGAUCGAGGGCCAACUUUGGACCGGAUCGAUGUGAAUCAGGUUGGACUGCGUGGAUCGGGCUCUGAUACCAUGUUAAGCUAGAUGGACUGUCAUCACAUUAGGCUUUAUGAUGGCUUUACAAAUUUACAAUUCUAUUUGAGUUUGGUGUUUUUACGCAUUAUUAUACAUUGACAGUUCAUUUAGAUAAUCCGAGCUUUAUAAUUCGAGAAGUAAAUAAUUUAUUUUGCAUCUACUUCAUAUGUCAACACAUCGAAAUAUUUGGAAAAUAUUACCAAGUCAAAAUUCAAAUGUUUGAUUACUGAACAAUGAUCACAACUCUAUUUAGUAAAAGAAAUUCCUAAAUUAAAGAAAUUCCACUUAGUUCAGAGGGAGGAAGGACACAUAUAUAAAACUCUAAUCUCAAUUUAACAUUUUAUCAAAAGAAAAAAAAAAUACUCCAAUCUCAGUGCAUUUGCUGCAUAAUUAUUUGCAACUUGCAAGUCACCUUUGCACUUAGAAAGAGGUAAAUGAAAAAAAUAAACUCCUUUUCCAAUAGAAAAAGAAAAAAUAACGUGAAAUUGCAUGUUUACCACUUUCUUGCUACCACUUUUCAUUUUUACCACUUUUAAAGGAACAUUUUCAAAAAUACAUUCUUCAUUAAGUGGCAAAAGACUUUUAUGCUCUUGUUCUUUAUAUAUAUAUUAAAUAAAUAUUUUAAAAAAUAAAAAUCUAAAAAAAUAAAAAUAAUUUUUUUAAUUUUCUUUCUAAUUAUACUAUUUCGAAAUUAAAACCUUAAACCUUAAAACUCAACUCUAAACCCUAAACCAUCAAUCCUAAACCCUAUUUUUUUUUGAAAUACGAACCAUAAACCCUAAACCAUCAAUCGUAAACCCAAUUUUUUUUUAAAUACGAACCCUAAACCCUGAAACAUCAACUCUAAACCCUAAACCCCGAAACAUCAACUCUAAACCCUAAACCCCGAAACAUCAACUCUAAACCCUAAACCCCGAAACAUCAACUCUAAACCCUAAACCCCGAAACAUCAACUCUAAACCCUAAACCUUCAAUUCUAAACCCUAAAACAUCAACUCUAAACCGUAAACCGUAAACUUCAACUCUAAACCCUAAACCAUCAACACUAAAUCCUAAACUAUCAACACUAAACCCUAAACCCUAAAAAGUAAACUCUAAACCCUAAACCCUAAAAAAUAACCCUAAACCCUAAAACAGCAACUCUAAACCCUAAACCCUAAACCUUCAACUCUAAACCCUAAAUCCUAAACCC